rnacentral:lncRNA from 1 species
CCAUUUUGCAACCAUUUGGGAAUCACCUUCAAUCCAAAAACAAAUUAAACCCAGCUUGAAGACGGCGUUCCUCACCGCAUGCCAAGCGGUCUGGAGCUCUGCUUCCGGGACGUAAAAUGCCUUUGAAUGAAUUGCCUCCACAUACCAUACCACUCCAUAAUGAUCUCUGAUAAUGUAUCUCAGUCUGGUCCUAUCUACAGUCCAAGAAGCAUUGAAAUUGAUCUUAACCUGAUCACAGAGUGAGGAUGCCCAAGACACUAGACGGCCGAA